GACGAACGCUGGCGGCGUGCUUAACACAUGCAAGUCGAACGGAAAGGCCCUGCUUGCAGGGUCCUCGAGUGGCGAACGGGUGAGUAACACGUGGGUGAUCUGCCCUGCACUUCGGGAUAAGCCUGGGAAACUGGGUCUAAUACCGGAUAGGAGCCAUUUUUAGUGUGAUGGUUGGAAAGUUUUUUCGGUGUAGGAUGAGCUCGCGGCCUAUCAGCUUGUUGGUGGGGUAAUGGCCUACCAAGGCGGCGACGGGUCGCCGGCAUGAGAGGGUGGACGGCCACAUUGGGCCUGCGAUACGGCCCAGACUCCUACGGGAGGCAGCAGUGGGGAAUAUUGCACAAUGGGCGCAAGCCUGAUGCAGCGACGCCGCGUGGGGGAUGACGGCCUUCGGGUUGUAAACUCCUUUCGCUAGGGACGAAGCUUUUUGGGACGGGACCUAGAUAAGAAGCACCGGCUAACUACGU
rnacentral:rRNA from 1 species